rnacentral:lncRNA from 1 species
CUCCAAUGCACUAAGGGCCCCUUUGAUAUCAUAACGUUACCAAUAGUUGUGCACUGCCUGGCAAAGAGGCGAAAUCUGAUUAAACGGUCUUAUAGCUAAAUUCCAACCACAUUCUUCUAAGACAAGAAACCAUUUUCCAAAAUAUAAUAAUCAAAAGAUUAAUAAGGAGAAUUUCUUCAAACAUCUUACACUUUAUGCAUAUAAUUUACAGAACUUGAUUCGAGAAUGAAAAAGUAUCCAGGAAACAAAAUAUAAGACUGAUUCCCUCCUUUAGUAUUAAAUGCAUUUAAACUUCCAGCAAUAUUUGUUGUAUUGAUCCUCAAUCACAUUUGGUAGUUCAUUCGAUUCGGACCAUCCAGAUCUUCUAUCAUAACAUGCAACAUCAUAUUUAAGAAAAUGGUAUCAACUAAAUGUCCCCAACAUUCUGCAUCAUAGUUUUAGCAGUCCCAAAGAAGGGACGAUGACAUCUCCCCCUUUUUUGUACCUUACUUUU